rnacentral:rRNA from 1 species
GCAAGUUCGAGCGGAUGAAGGGAGCUUGCUCCUGGAUUCAGCGGCGGACGGGUGAGUAAUGCCUAGGAAUCUGCCUGGUAGUGGGGGAUAACGUCCGGAAACGGGCGCUAAUACCGCAUACGUCCUGAGGGAGAAAGUGGGGGAUCUUCGGACCUCACGCUAUCAGAUGAGCCUAGGUCGGAUUAGCUAGUUGGUGGGGUAAAGGCCUACCAAGGCGACGAUCCGUAACUGGUCUGAGAGGAUGAUCAGUCACACUGGAACUGAGACACGGUCCAGACUCCUACGGGAGGCAGCAGUGGGGAAUAUUGGACAAUGGGCGAAAGCCUGAUCCAGCCAUGCCGCGUGUGUGAAGAAGGUCUUCGGAUUGUAAAGCACUUUAAGUUGGGAGGAAGGGCAGUAAGUUAAUACCUUGCUGUUUUGACGUUACCAACAGAAUAAGCACCGGCUAACUUCGUGCCAGCAGCCGCGGUAAUACGAAGGGUGCAAGCGUUAAUCGGAAUUACUGGGCGUAAAGCGCGCGUAGGUGGUUCAGCAAGUUGGAUGUGAAAUCCCCGGGCUCAACCUGGGAACUGCAUCCAAAACUACUGAGCUAGAGUACGGUAGAGGGUGGUGGAAUUUCCUGUGUAGCGGUGAAAUG